rnacentral:rRNA from 1 species
AUUGAACGCUGGCGGCAGGCCUAACACAUGCAAGUCGAACGGUAACAGGAAGAAGCUUGCUUCUUUGCUGACGAGUGGCGGACGGGUGAGUAAUGUCUGGGAAACUGCCUGAUGGAGGGGGAUAACUACUGGAAACGGUAGCUAAUACCGCAUAACGUCGCAAGACCAAAGAGGGGGACCUUCGGGCCUCUUGCCAUCGGAUGUGCCCAGAUGGGAUUAGCUAGUAGGUGGGGUAACGGCUCACCUAGGCGACGAUCCCCAGCUGGUCUGAGAGGAUGACCAGCCACACUGGAACUGAGACACGGUCCAGACUCCUACGGGAGGCAGCAGUGGGGAAUAUUGCACAAUGGGCGCAAGCCUGAUGCAGCCAUGCCGCGUGUAUGAAGAAGGCCUUCGGGUUGUAAAGUACUUUCAGCGGGGAGGAAGGGAGUAAAGUUAAUACCCUUGCUCAUUGACGUUACCCGCAGAAGAAGCACCGGCUAACUCCGUG